rnacentral:lncRNA from 1 species
UUCUUUUGUAUGAUCCAAUUCGGGCAUUCCUACAGUUUAUUUUAAUUCAAGUUGAACUAGUACAAGCAUUGGCAUGUAGCUUUAAUGACCUCUGUGUUUUCAACAGGGACUGAGUAUCUCAUUCCUGUCACUGUGACCUGCUCCCGGGUGAGGAUGCACCAUGGCCAUCAACCCUGUGGGGCAGGCUCUGCUCCCACGAGGCUCCCAGGAUAGAAGGACAGGAGCAAUCAUCCAUCAUGGCACAUUGUCACUAGCCCGGCAGACAGCAAGCACCAAGUGUGGAGAGGACAAGCUCUCACAAGUCCACAUUUUUCUGUGGAAUUGCCCUGGUUCCUGUUUCACAGGACAGCAGCCUGGCCUUGACUCGACAGAGCAGGACAGGGUAGCUUGAAAGGGGCUGUCGAGGGAAGAACAGCUGAGAGCUACAACGAUCCCAGUGUGUGUAUAAAUAGAGAUGGGGCUGUUAUCCUGAUGAAAUGAGACCAGAUGUUUCUCCCAAAUCCCUGCUCUCUGCUAGUGAAAAUUAUAGUUUAGUUACAGCAGGGCAAAGCGGGCAGCAGAAUGUUUUAGACCUACUGAUGUUGGGAAGUCAAAGGGGAAAAAUGCCUCACUGGGCUGGGGGAUACAGUGCCCUGUGACGCAGGGAUGGAUUGGGCACGGUCAGAGUGGAGGAGCCCCUCGCUGCCUUUGUUCUAUUUUGCUGCUUCCUAUCCCGGUAUUAACAGGCUGAGUUUAAAGCCCAUGCUGCGACUGCCUUUUGUGAGGUAGAAAUUCAGUGUCAGCACAUGUAUCCUGGAGGCAGUUGGCACGAGAUGAAGGAGGGAUGGCAGCAGCAGUUAAAACUGGGCCUUGGCUCUUUAAUAUUUAACUUUCCCCAGUGCUGUUUUUUUUUUUUAAUCAGUUUGUGCAUUAUCUGCCAUCCCCGUUCAAAGAGGGUUUUAGCACAGAGAUUUCAGUGCUUAAUCCCAGGGGCAGGGAAAGCGGAAGAGUCUCUCUGAAGGUUCCAGGGCUCAAUCUGGCCUCAAUUACACCAGCCUAAAUCAGCAAAGAGUGGCCACGACAGACUUUGAUGUGACCACGUCGGGCUGGAGGUAACAAAAUUAGGAGUAAGUCCCAUAUCUGUCCAGGAGACGCCUCUGGUCCCUAAGGCUCCAUCCAUAGGGAGUUCCCAGGAGGAUAUAAGCAUUGCCUGGCUGGCUCAGAAUAAACGUCCACCUUGGGCAACA